rnacentral:rRNA from 1 species
AUUGAACGCUGGCGGCAGGCCUAACACAUGCAAGUCGAGCGGAUGAAGGGAGCUUGCUCCUGGAUUCAGCGGCGGACGGGUGAGUAAUGCCUAGGAAUCUGCCUGGUAGUGGGGGAUAACGUCCGGAAACGGGCGCUAAUACCGCAUACGUCCUGAGGGAGAAAGUGGGGGAUCUUCGGACCUCACGCUAUCAGAUGAGCCUAGGUCGGAUUAGCUAGUUGGUGGGGUAAAGGCCUACCAAGGCGACGAUCCGUAACUGGUCUGAGAGGAUGAUCAGUCACACUGGAACUGAGACACGGUCCAGACUCCUACGGGAGGCAGCAGUGGGGAAUAUUGGACAAUGGGCGAAAGCCUGAUCCAGCCAUGCCGCGUGUGUGAAGAAGGUCUUCGGAUUGUAAAGCACUUUAAGUUAGGAGGAAGGGCAGUAAGUUAAUACCUUGCUGUUUUGACGUUACCAACAGAACAAGCACCGGCUAACUUCGUG